rnacentral:rRNA from 1 species
UACGUAGGGUGCGAGCGUUGUCCGGAAUUAUUGGGCGUAAAGAGCUCGUAGGCGGUCUGUCGCGUCGGCUGUGAAAACUUGGGGCUCAACCCCAAGCCUGCAGUCGAUACGGGCAGACUAGAGUGCGGUAGGGGAGACUGGAAUUCCUGGUGUAGCGGUGAAAUGCGCAGAUAUCAGGAGGAACACCGGUGGCGAAGGCGGGUCUCUGGGCCGUAACUGACGCUGAGGAGCGAAAGCAUGGGGAGCGAACAGG